rnacentral:lncRNA from 1 species
AUUCUGCACUAAUAGCGGCAAAAAGCCUUCUGGUUCCUGGGGCGACGCGCCCGGCGGCCGUACUAUUCACUUCCCCAGAACGCCACAGCCCAGGCUUUCUUCUUAGUGGGCUUCCCAGACCAAGAAGGGAAACCUUUCAUCCGAAGACUGUACGAGAAGCAUAGCAGUUUCUACUUUUGCAGAGGCCUCAGGAAGCUUCCAAUCACCGCACAAGGCAAAGGUAGAGCAGCCAUCUUACAUGGCAGGAGCAAGUAGGGUGGGGGUAGGUGCUACACAUUUUUAAACAACCAGAUCUCACAAGAAUUCACUGUUGCAAGGACAGUACCAAGAGAGGUGGUACUUAACCAUUCAUGAGAAACCCACCCCUAUGAUCCAGUUACCUCCCACCAGGCCCCACCUCCGACAUUGGGGAUUGCAAUUUGACAUGUGAUUUGGGUGGGGACACAUAUCCAAACUAUAUCAGACACUAUCUACUAAAGCUAGUUAUACACAGACCAUAACCCAAUAAUUCUACCACUGGGCAUAUACCCAAGAGUAUUUAUUAUUUAUGAUCAUGUAGAAGAAUAUUCAUUGCAGCAUUACCCAAGGUAGCAAAAACUGGAAAUAAUCUAAAUGUCCUUAAAUAGGAGAAAAAAAUAUUACAUAGCAAUAGGAAUGAACGACUACUACACACAACGAUAUGGAUGAAGCUUAUAUACAUAAGUUGUGGUAAAAAAAAAAAAAAGCCAGACGGAGUACAUCAUGAUUGAUUCCACUUAGAUGAGAGGUAUCAUAAGGGAACCUCCUGGUUGUCAGGGAGGGUGGGGAACAGGAGCAUGAAGAAAUCUCGGAUGCGGGAAAUGUUACAUAUCUUGAUCUGGCUGGUAAUCACAGCAGUGUAUUCAAACAUAAAAUUUUAUCAAGUUAUGCACAAGAUUUGUGCAGGCUGGGUGCAGUGGCUCACGCCUGUAAUCCCA